UACGUAGGGUGCGAGCGUUAAUCGGAAUUACUGGGCGUAAAGGGUGUGCAGGCGGCUGAGUAAGACAGAUGUGAAAUCCCCGGGCUUAACCUGGGAACCGCAUAUGUGACUGCUUGGCUAGAGUGCGUCAGAGGGAGGUGGAAUUCCACGUGUAGCAGUGAAAUGCGUAGAUAUGUGGAAGAACACCGAUGGCGAAGGCAGCAUACCGGCGCCCAACUGACGCUGAAGCACGAAAGCGUGGGUAUCGAACAGG
rnacentral:rRNA from 1 species